UGGCUCUGAGGUGAUUAGGCAGAGGAACAAUGACCCCAAGUGAAAGAGCCCAUUGGAGAGAAGGGUUGAGUCAAAAGAGUUCAGGAGCUCAAAGCACUUCGCCUUUAAGACCCCAGGAGCUUCUUUGGCAUAUAGAAAAGAAUUGGUGUAUAUACUUUAAAGCCAAUUAAGGAAUUGGAAGUUUCAGGAAGCAGAUAACCAGGUCAUAAAUGUACUAUUUUGAUAAACCCGGAGGCAAUGUUAAGGUCAAUGAAGGAAGUGGAUUUGUAUUAAUGUUUUAUUUCAACUUCUCAUAUUUGGAUCCAAUCAUAAUAAUCACGUGCUUUUUGCCAACUUUCCUGGGUAUUCAGCUUUCCCACCUGGAGACUAAAUGUAGAGUUAGAAGCUCAGAGAACUAAAAACAGCGCAGCUGGAUUAUAACUUUUGUUGAAAAGAACAUCAGUUGCUUGGCUAAGAAUUCUUCCAAAUUUUUCAAUUAUAUAGACCCUUCAGAGUUUUAUUCCUCUUUCUACAUAGCUCUGGGAUUUUGAAAGUGCAUUAAUACAUUGUCAAGAAAACAAUAAAAAUUUCAUUUAUACCAUUCAUCUGAGUUAGUCAUGAAAAGAAACAGUUAUGGUCUUGAACAAGAUGGGUUUGAACUGCAUGGGCCCAGUUAUACAUGGAUUUUUGUUUAUAAAUAUGGUCUAGCACUGUAAAUGUAUUUUCUCUUAUGAUUUUUUAAAUAACAUUUUCUUUUAACUAGCUUACUUUAUUGUAAUAUUACCUAAUACAUAUAGCAUGCAAAAUUUGUGGUAACUGAUUGUGUAUGUUAUUGUUAAGGCUUCUGGUCAACUCUAGGCUGUUAGUAGUUAGGUUUUGAGGGGAGUUUUUGACUGGGAGUCAGUGCUUCUAAUCCCCAUGUUUUUCAAGGGUCAACUGUAUUUUAUUUCCACAAAUGUGGACUCGAGUUAGGUACACACAAAGAUAAGACAAUAUUGCUCACUUUUUAAGCAUCCUGGACAUUGCUGUGAUCAGCUGCUGAAGAGUUUCUGUGAACAGAACGUAUUGUGUUUUCAAGGGGUACAUAUGUAUGUGGAUCUCUCUAUCAGUCUAUUAUUGUUCAUCUUUAUUGUUACCUUGUGUUGGUUGACUUUGUUAAAAGUAAUGAAAGCACACUGUUAACGUGAUUUUUUA